ACAAAAUGGAUGAAGAGAGGUGCUUGGCUUAGAAAUACAAAUACGAGUGAGAGCAGAAGGACCUGAGUCCUUGACUGCAACUCCCUUGAAAGACUGCAAUUCACUGGCUGUGGCCAAAUUUAAUGGAGAAGGCAGCUUUUCCCCAGGAGGUCUCCCAGAAGCUACCAUGCUGGGGGCCAGUGGCUCACACCUGUAAUCCUAUCACUUUGGGAGGCGAAUCUUUUGAGCCCAGGAGUUCAAGAGCAACCUGGACAACAUACAGAGACCCCAUCUCUACAAAAAAAUACAAAAAUUAGCCAGAUGAGCUGGCGUGUGUGUGUAGCUACUUUGGAGGUUGAAGUGGGAGGAUUGCUUGAGCCUGGGAGGCCAAGGCUGCAGUGAGCUGUGAUUGCACCACUCCACUCCAGCCUCUACAGUCUAGGCAACAGAGACCCUGUCUCAAAACGAAACAAAACAAGCAAAAAAGAAACUGUCAAAUGGGGUUUCAAAGUUGUACUAUUUUACAUUCACACCAGCAGUGAACUAAAGAACUAAACGUUCCACAUCCUCGUUCAUAUUUGGUGUAUCCAUUUCGAGUUAAUUUUUGUACAUUGAUGAAGGAGGACCGGGCAGCCUUUUCUGGAGAGCAACCUCAGCCAAGGAGCGGAUGCCAUAAUUGCUUUCCCUUUUACCUCACCACUGGGACAGCUCUGAACACUUUAUAGAGUUUGCUCCCUCAAGCUUGCAUUCCUUACUUCUCAUAGAAGCAAAAUACUGCAUUUCUUUUGAUCUCAUAGAAAUGAAAAGGACUCUCUACGCCAUGGCUUUUGGUCUUGGUUUCUGUUUCUUUGAAUUUGGCUCCUUGGUGGGGUCCUGGGGAUACUUGCACUUCACUAUUGUUCAAGCUUUCAACUGAACUUAGAGGUGAAUUUAAAUCAAUCCCCUAACAACAAAGAGAUGUGUGUCAGGAGGGGUAGUGGUGACUCAGGGACAGAUAAAUGUAACUUCUCUAAGGUGUAAAGCCAUAUACCCUCAUUCCCUAGAGGGGAACAUAUAAAAAGCCACUAGUAGAAUGUCUUCUUCUAUCAAUUUCACCUGUUGAUCUAAUUGUAGGUAGAGAUCCAUAAGGAACUCAUUGAGGGUUAGGGAGAGAUUCGCUACUCAGAUACUGAUUAGGCAAGAAAUGUAACACCAAGUGAAGAAAUGGAGUCCAAGAAUUUUCCUAAUCCUGAAAAAAGUAGGGAGUGUGGAGAGAGGAGUUGAUUAUAUAAAACAGAAGGGCAGAUACAUUGCAAAAAAUGUUAAAUUUUACUGCCAUAUAUGUGACAUUCAAAUUAUUUAUAGCAGGGAGACCUUUAUUUCAAAACUAGCUGUCUGAUCUUGAGCAAAUUACUUAACCUGGCCAACAUAUGCUUCUCUAAUAUGAUCAAUUAGGAAUUAUCUGUACUGAACAGUGUUAUUUUGUGGAUUAAAUGGAAAUGUAAAAACUGGUUGACAUAGUAUCUGAAGCAUAAUGGACUCAGAGAAUAUUAGUUCUCUUCCUUUCCAUGAACUCAACUGUUAAAACACACAAGUGUAUAUAACAGUUCUAUCACUUUAUUUAUUUAUUUAUUUUUCAGAUGGAGUCUCACUCUGUUGCCUAGGUUGGAGUGCAGUGGCUCAAUCUUGGCUCACUGUAACAUCCACCUCCCGGGUUCAAGCAAUUCUCCUGCUUCAGCUCCCCCAAGUAGCUGGGACUACAGGCGCCUGCCACCACACCUGGCUAAUUUUUUUUUUUGUAUUUUUAGUAGAGAUGGGGUUUCACUGUGUUGGCCAGGCUGAGUCUCAAGCACCUGACCUCGUGAUCCGUCUGCCUUGGCUUCCCAAAGUGCUGGGAUUACAGGCAUGAGCCACCACACCUGGCCCUAUCACUUACUUUUGAAGUACCUAUUAAAUCCUAGGUGCUUCACAGAUUUUGCCUACAUUUCAUCAUUUAAUUUACUGUAUAAAUUAAUUCAUCUUUGUCUUAUUCUGUCAGGUUAAUGUUAUCAUUCUCUUUUUACAGAUUUAUUGAGACACAGAGAAAGCCAAGUAACUUGCUCAUAAUUUCACAGCUAGUAAAAGGUAGAAUCAAGAAUUGGAGCCAUAUACUUUGAUACAAAAGUAUUAUCACACUCUUUUCUUUUCCUAAGCCUGCUGACCAAGCUUGCACAGUUCCCUCUGGGGAAAAGAUCUAUCGACCUACUUUAGAUUUUAUCAAAGUGAAAGAGUAUUUUUUAUUCAUUCAAUGAUCAAGAUUGAUUUAUUUUUCUGAAUUACUUCAAGAAACCUUGAGAUAUCUGAUAAUCUAGAAAACAUCUGGUCAUUUCUUCUUUCAUAAGUCCUUGCAUUUCUGUUGGAGUGGAAUUACUGGAUUAUGAGGUAUGAACAUGCUCAGUUUUAGCAGAUACUGCCAGUUUUCCAAAGUGGUUAUAUGCUUCACACUUCCACCAGCAAUGAGUUCCAGUUGUUCCACAUCCUCAUCAGCAAUGUUAUUGUGAGUCUUUUUCAUUUUAGCCAUUCUGGCAAGUGUGUAAUGGUAUCGCAUUGUGGUUUUAAUUUGCAUUUCCCUGAUGACAGUGACGUUGAGCUUUUUUUCUUAUGUUUAUUGGCCCUUUGUAUAACCUCCUUUGUGAAGUAUGACUUUGGCUGUUUUUCAUCAAAUAGGCUAUCUUACUGAUGCGUAAAACUUCUCUGUACCUUCCGGAUAGGAGCCCUUUGUCAGUUUUAAGGAUUGUAAAUGUCUUCUCUCUCUUAGUGUCUUGCCUUUCCCACUUUCUUAAUGGUGUCAUUUGAGAAAUAGAAUUUUUCGUUCUAAUAUAGUACAAUUUAUUAAUAAUUUCUUUCAAGGAUAAUGAUUUUUAUGUCCUGAUUAUGAAAUCUUUCCUUCCCUUAGGUAAUGAAUAUACUCUCCAGUAGAAACGUUAUUGUUUUGCCUUUCACAAAGAUCUACAAUCCACCUGAAAUACAUAUUUGCAUGUACUCUGACGUAGAGAAUGUUUCAUUUUGUCCACGUGUAUCCAAUUGUCCCAGCAGUACUUAUUAAAAAGAUUAUCGUUUUUCCAUGGUUGUAUAGUGCCACCUUUGUCUUAACUCUAUAGUCCACAUAUGUAGACUCUACUUUUUUUCCCUUGGUUAUCUUUGAUUCCUUGAGAAAAUAUCAU
rnacentral:lncRNA from 10 species